rnacentral:rRNA from 1 species
GGGGAAUAUUGCACAAUGGGCGCAAGCCUGAUGCAGCAACGCCGCGUGAGGGACGACGGCCUUCGGGUUGUAAACCUCUUUUGGCGGGGAAGAAGCGAAAGUGACGGUACCUGCAGAAAAAGCACCGGCUAACUACGUGCCAGCAGCCGCGGUGAUACGUAGGAUGCAAGCGUUGUCCGGAAUUAUUGGGCGUAAAGAGCUCGUAGGCGGUUUGUCGCGUCUGCUGUGAAAACCCGAGUCUCAACCUCGGGCCUGCAGUGGGUACGGGCAAACUAGAGUGCGGUAGGGGAGAUUGGAAUUCCUGGUGUAGCGGGGGAGUGCGCAGAUAUCAGGAGGAACACCGAUGGCGAAGGCAGAUCUCUGGGCCGUAACUGACGCUGAGGAGCGAAAGCAAGGGGAGCGAACA